rnacentral:rRNA from 1 species
CCUACGGGUGGCAGCAGUGGGGAAUAUUGGACAAUGGGGGGAACCCUGAUCCAGCCAUGCCGCGUGUGUGAAGAAGGCCCUCGGGUUGUAAAGCACUUUCAGUGAGGAAGAACGCCUGGUGGUUAAUACCCAUCAGGAAAGACAUCACUCACAGAAGAAGCACCGGCUAACUCCGUGCCAGCAGCCGCGGUAAUACGGAGGGUGCGAGCGUUAAUCGGAAUUACUGGGCGUAAAGCGCGCGUAGGUGGCUUGAUAAGCCGGUUGUGAAAGCCCCGGGCUCAACCUGGGAACGGCAUCCGGAACUGUCAAGCUAGAGUGCAGGAGAGGAAGGUAGAAUUCCCGGUGUAGCGGGGAAAUGCGUAGAGAUCGGGAGGAAUACCAGUGGCGAAGGCGGCCUUCUGGACUGACACUGACACUGAGGUGCGAAAGCGUGGGUAGCAAACAGGAUUAGAUACCCCUGUAGUC